rnacentral:lncRNA from 1 species
CCCCGCCCCCUCCGGCACCCCCCGCGGGCGGGCCACCCGGGCCACCGCCAGCGCAGGCAUCAGACAGCGCACGCGGGCGGAGGGCACGACGCAAGCUGGGACCCUGGGGAUGCCGGCCCGGGUUCUUUUAAGACGGUCUCUGGCCGCAGGCGACAGCAGCCUCGCCCGCCAUUAGCCCGCCUCUCUCUGGACACCAGCGGCCAGGGCGCGGGGCGUUGAGCUCUGGGACGCGCCCAACUUGGAAAGCGUCUGGCUCGCCCCGGCGCGCUACUUCUCCGGCGGGCGCCGGGCGCACGGACACAUACUGCCCCCACCCCUCCGCGCCUGCGAGUUGCGGCUCACCCUCCCCUGUGCAGAGCUGUCGCCUGGCUUUCCGUGGGAGCCUUCCAGCAGAUCCUGGGCUGGAAAGGACAAGGAGCCGUGGGGAGGGAAGUUAGGGCUUCCGCUUUCUCUCCCCACUCCAGCGGCGGCGUUCUGUCCUCUGGGUGGGAUGUGCUCGCAGAAGAGGUGGCGGCGGCAGCAGCGGAGGCGCCGAAGCCAUGCACCCGCAGCCGGAGACAAGACGAUGGCCAAGGAGGAAGAGACCGGGUGCACCAGCCGGGUGAAGUCCCAGGGCCGCAGAGCCGCGCCUGGAAUCUGUCCUGGAGACGCCUUCUCCUCCACCUCGGACACUUUAAGCAGCGGUGGCGGCAAACGGCGUGGGCUUGCAGACCCGACAGCGGGCUUCUCUCGUUCCGACGUUGCUCUGACCUCCGGAGAUGACAAGCGAGCAAGAAGUGUCCAGCCGGGCCAUCCCCUUCAGGAGGAAGACCCCUGA